UACGAAGGGGGCUAGCGUUGCUCGGAAUUACUGGGCGUAAAACGCACGUAGGCGGCUUUCUAAGUCGGGGGGUGAAAUCCUGGAGCUCAACUCCAGAACUGCCUUCGAUACUGGCGAUCUUGAGUCCGGAAGAGGUGAGUGGAACUCCUAGUGUAGAGGUGAAAUUCGUAGAUAUUCGGAAGAACACCAGUGGCGAAGGCGACUCACUGGCCCGAUACUGACGCUGAGGCGCGAAAGCGUGGGGAGCAAACAGG
rnacentral:rRNA from 1 species